CAGAGGAGGAGGAGUAGCACAUGCGUCCCAUCUGAAGAGGAACCUGCAGAACAGGUCACAGCACAGCCCUAGAGCAUAUCCUGAAGCAGACAGCAGGAAAAUACUGUGUUGGUGAUGAGGUAUCCAUGGCAGAUAUUUAUCUUGUGCCUCAAGUCUACACUGCUGAAAGGUUCAAGGUGGAUAUGUCCCAGUUUCCUACUAUCAGAAGGUUAAACCAGACCUUAAUUGAGAUUGAUGCUUUCAAAGCCACUCAUCCAUCACGUCAGCCUGAUACUCCUGAUGAUUU